CCUACGGGAGGCAGCAGUAAGGAAUAUUGGUCAAUGGAGGAAACUCUGAACCAGCCAUGCCGCGUGUGUGAUGAAGGCCCUUUGGGUUGUAAAGCACUUUUAUCUAGGAAGAAUGACAGGGAUUUAUCCUUGGAGAGACGGUACUAGAGGAAUAAGCACCGGCUAACUCCGUGCCAGCAGCCGCGGUAAUACGGAGGGUGCAAGCGUUAUCCGGAAUCACUGGGUUUAAAGGGUACGUAGGCGGUUGUGUAAGUCAGACGUUAAAGGCUGUGGCUAAACCAUGGUACGCGUUUGAAACUGCAUAACUUGAAUAUGUUCGAGGUGCAUGGAAUGAGUCAUGUAGCGGUGAAAUGCAUAGAUAUGACUUAGAACACCAAUUGCGAAGGCAGUGCACUAGGGCAUCAUUGACGCUGAGGUACGAAAGCGUGGGUAGCGAACAGGAUUAGAUACCCUGGUAGUCCACGCCCUAAACGAUGCUAACUGGUUAUUUGUAGGAAUAUACAAGUAACUGAGGGAAACCAUUAAGUUAGCCACCUGGGGAGUACGUUCGCAAGAAUGAAACUCAAAGGAAUUGACGG
rnacentral:rRNA from 1 species